rnacentral:RNase_P_RNA from 2 species
UCCUUACGAAUGCCGCGUUUCUUUGCUCACAAACCGACUCGUACGCACGUACGCUGUCCACAUUGGCAAAUGAGAAAUUCGGAGUAAUCUUCACCUUGCACGCUAUCCGACAAUCCUCUCACGGAAGUUUGCGCGGCUCUGGCAUCUGCCCGUGAGGGCCUACCAUGACACUCAUGGCUGCAUUUGGCAUCAGAAAUCUCAGCCGCGAGUCAGGGCAUAUGCGCUGUGCUCGUUGGCUAUGGGAGCUAGUGCGAAGAUUGUGUCUUGCGAGAACACUUUAGUGCAAUACGCGGCGUAUCUGAGUCUCUUUCUACCUUCGGGUGGUGGAGAGGAGGGUAUCAUUCGAUUCCGAUUACUCUUGUGAGGA